CUUCUUCAACUUGCUGUGGACAAAUAAAGUGAAUAUGAGCAUCAAUGCCGCCAGCAGUAAGGAUAGAGCCUUCACCCGCGAGUACAUCUGUGCCAGGGCCAAUCGCAAUAUCAACACCGUCCUGAACAUCCGGGUUUCCGGCUUUGCCAACACCGACGAUACGACCGUCUUUGACACCAACAUCACCUUUAACGAUUCCCCAGUGAUCAAGAACCAAAGCGUUGGUAAUCACUAGGUCGACAGUAUCGGCACAUGAGCGCUGACUUUGCCCCAUGCCAUCUCGAAU
rfam:Oleiphilus sp. HI0069 HI0069_c1418, whole genome shotgun sequence.